rnacentral:rRNA from 1 species
UACGAAGGGGGCUAGCGUUGUUCGGAAUUACUGGGCGUAAAGCGCGCGUAGGCGGACGCUUAAGUCAGGGGUGAAAGGCCGGGGCUCAACCCCGGAACGGCCUCUGAUACUGGGUGUCUGGAGUCCGGAAGAGGUUGGUGGAAUUCCGAGUGUAGAGGUGAAAUUCGUAGAUAUUCGGAGGAACACCAGAGGCGAAGGCGGCCAACUGGUCCGGUACUGACGCUGAGGCGCGAAAGCGUGGGGAGCAAACAGG